GUGAAGUGAAAAGUUUUGGGAGUGAAUUACUUGAAAAGAAUCCAGUCGGAAGUAAAGUGAUUAACCUCGCACUUUUAAUAUUAUACCAAAUUACCUUCAGUUUGGUAAUACAAGGCUACACCAAAACAAGAAACCACAAAUUCUCCGGCCACCGGUAAUCGCUAUCCCCGUUCCCAGGAUCUGCUGACUCCGGAGAAGUCGAACUUGCCUGACUCAAGGUCUCGGAGCAAUCAAAGUGCAGUGCAGGAAAAUCGAGGAAAUCCCUGGAAAACUCCGGUCAGGCAUCCAUAGCCAAGAUGCAGAUGUUCCUAGUGAAUAUGCUUCUGGAAAAGCCUGCUGGCUCCUCCUUCGCGGUUUACAAUCAGCCUUGCGUCUCUCCAUGAGGAAUAAGGGGUAAAGACCUCUCUGGAGCGGGACCAUACAGCUCGGAGGCCAAGGACGCCAACGUGAUGUAGCGCACCAAGGGAAUGGAACACCACGAGUCUAUGGUGCGUUUCUGGUGGCUUUCGCUUUCCUGCUCCUGUCCUUUGGCCUGCUGCACUUGGGUGACAGGCUGGCCGUGGGACUCGUGGCCCACGUGGAGCUGGUCACCCGGGUGGAGCAGGCCAAACGAGAGGUGGACGAAGGCGAAAACCACCAGGGACGAACCAAUGACUCGUGGCGUUCUAGCUCCUUGUUGUGUUCCAUCAAUUUGGCAUCCUUUGCCUUCACACUGUGUGGUCUACCGCCUGCUGAUGGACGCCAAGAAAUCACAUGGCCUGUUACCGAGGUAUUCGACGAUAAGGACUGUAUGCGAGACAAAUCAAAGAUCAUUUUGUAAAUUAAUUAAAAUGAUAGCGCAAAAAUACAUAUGAAAAUUCUAAUUCAA